AUUGAACGCUGGCGGCAGGCCUAACACAUGCAAGUCGAACGGUAACAGGAAACAGCUUGCUGUUUCGCUGACGAGUGGCGGACGGGUGAGUAAUGUCUGGGAAACUGCCUGAUGGAGGGGGAUAACUACUGGAAACGGUAGCUAAUACCGCAUAACGUCGCAAGACCAAAGAGGGGGACCUUCGGGCCUCUUGCCAUCGGAUGUGCCCAGAUGGGAUUAGCUAGUAGGUGGGGUAACGGCUCACCUAGGCGACGAUCCCUAGCUGGUCUGAGAGGAUGACCAGCCACACUGGAACUGAGACACGGUCCAGACUCCUACGGGAGGCAGCAGUGGGGAAUAUUGCACAAUGGGCGCAAGCCUGAUGCAGCCAUGCCGCGUGUAUGAAGAAGGCCUUCGGGUUGUAAAGUACUUUCAGCGGGGAGGAAGGGAGUAAAGUUAAUACCUUUGCUCAUUGACGCUACCCGCAGAAGAAGCACCGGCUAACUCCGUG
rnacentral:rRNA from 1 species